rnacentral:siRNA from 1 species
AUUCGUAAUGCCUAUUAGGUUAGC